rnacentral:SRP_RNA from 1 species
CGGCAGGUCUUACACAACCAGCUCCUUUUGACUCCCCCAGGACAGGAAUGUAGCAAGGGUAGAUGGUUGAGCGGUGUGAUGUAAGUAAUCUGCCAUUU